GCGUGCGGGAAGAAGGCCUUCGGGUUGUAAACCGCUUUUGUCAGGGAAGAAAAGACUCCUGUUAAUACCGGGGGUUCAUGACGGUACCUGAAGAAUAAGCACCGGCUAACUACGUGCCAGCAGCCGCGGUAAUACGUAGGGUGCAAGCGUUAAUCGGAAUUACUGGGCGUAAAGCGUGCGCAGGCGGUUAUGCAAGACAGAUGUGAAAUCCCCGGGCUCAACCUGGGAACUGCAUUUGUGACUGCAUGGCUAGAGUACGGUAGAGGGGGAUGGAAUUCCGCGUGUAGCAGUGAAAUGCGU
rnacentral:rRNA from 1 species